rnacentral:rRNA from 1 species
UACGAAGGGGGCUAGCGUUGCUCGGAAUCACUGGGCGUAAAGCGCACGUAGGCGGCUUCUUAAGUCAGGGGUGAAAUCCUGGAGCUCAACUCCAGAACUGCCUUUGAUACUGGGAAGCUUCGAGUCCGGAAGAGGUGAGUGGAACUGCGAGUGUAGAGGUGAAAUUCGUAGAUAUUCGCAAGAACACCAGUGGCGAAGGCGGCUCACUGGUCCGGUACUGACGCUGAGGCACGAAGGCCAGGGGAGCAAACGGG